rnacentral:rRNA from 1 species
UGGGGAAUAUUGGACAAUGGGGGGAACCCUGAUCCAGCCAUGCCGCGUGUGUGAAGAAGGCCUUAUGGUUGUAAAGCACUUUAAGCGAGGAGGAGGGUACUGGUAUUAAUACUACCAGGUACUGGACGUUACUCGCAGAAUAAGCACCGGCUAACUCUGUGCCAGCAGCCGCGGUAAUACAGAGGGUGCGAGCGUUAAUCGGAUUUACUGGGCGUAAAGCGUGCGUAGGCGGCUAAUUGAGUCGGAUGUGAAAUCCCCGAGCUUAACUUGGGAAGUGCAUUCGAUACUGGUUAGCUAGAGUGUGGGAGAGGAUGGUAGAAUUCCAGGUGUAGCGGUGAAAUGCGUAGAGAGCGGGAGGAAUACCGAUGGCGAAGGCAGCCAUCUGGCCUAACACUGACGCUGAGGUACGAAAGCAUGGGGAGCAAACAGG